GGUCGAUUGGCCCAGUGGUUAAGGCAUUCGCUUUACAAUCUCGCAAUAGAGAGAAUAUCGCGAAGGAUCGCAGGUUCGAUCCCUGCAUCGAUCA